AAAGAGAAGCAGAAUAAGAAGGUUGGAGAAAUCCAAAGAAAGAGGUAGCUAGGGAGAGUGGGAGUUCUGGGGGCUGAGAAGUCCAGGAUCAAGGUGCUGCCAAUUUGGUUCCUGGUGAAAGAGCAAACAGCACAGAAAAAGAAAAAGCAGUAUAUGUGGAAGAAAGCAAGAAAAAUCAACUGGCCUGGAACCUAAGACUUGCCCAAAGAUGUCACAGAGAGUAAAAUGAGAAAAGUCCAG
rnacentral:lncRNA from 1 species